GACGAACCGUGCGAACGUUAUUCGGAAUCACUGGGCUUAAAGCGCGUGUAGGCGGAUGAGCACGUCUGUCGCUGAAAUCCCCCGGCUCAACCGGGGAACGGGCGCGGAUACGGCUCGUCUCGAGGGGCGUAGGGGGACCUGGAACUUCCGGUGGAGCGGUGAAAUGCGUUGAGAUCGGAAGGAACGCCCGUGGCGAAAGCGAGGUCCUGGACGACUACUGACGCUGAGACGCGAAAGCCAGGGGAGCGAACGGG
rnacentral:rRNA from 1 species